rnacentral:rRNA from 1 species
GACGAACGCUGGCGGCGUGCUUAACACAUGCAAGUCGAACGGUAAGGCCCUUCGGGGUACACGAGUGGCGAACGGGUGAGUAACACGUGGGUGAUCUGCCCUGCACUUCGGGAUAAGCCUGGGAAACUGGGUCUAAUACCGGAUAGGACUCCUGGCUUCAUGGUUGGUGGUGGAAAGCUUUUGCGGUGUGGGAUGGGCCCGCGGCCUAUCAGCUUGUUGGUGGGGUGAUGGCCUACCAAGGCGACGACGGGUAGCCGGCCUGAGAGGGUGACCGGCCACACUGGGACUGAGAUACGGCCCAGACUCCUACGGGAGGCAGCAGUGGGGAAUAUUGCACAAUGGGCGCAAGCCUGAUGCAGCGACGCCGCGUGAGGGAUGACGGCCUUCGGGUUGUAAACCUAUUUCAGCACCGACGAAGCGCAAGUGACGGUAGGUGCAGAAGAAGGACCGGCCAACUACGUGCCAGCCGCCGCGGUAA